rnacentral:rRNA from 1 species
UACGUAGGUGGCAAGCGUUGUCCGGAUUUACUGGGUGUAAAGGGCGCGUAGGCGGACUGUCAAGUCAGUCGUGAAAUACCGGGGCUUAACCCCGGGGCUGCGAUUGAAACUGACAGCCUUGAGUAUCGGAGAGGAAAGCGGAAUUCCUAGUGUAGCGGUGAAAUGCGUAGAUAUUAGGAGGAACACCAGUGGCGAAGGCGGCUUUCUGGACGACAGCUGACGCUGAGGCGCGAAAGUGUGGGGAGCAAACAGG